rnacentral:misc_RNA from 1 species
CGCUUGGUGUUGGAUGGUUUGGUGGAGGGCUCCUCCACCCAUCCGAAAGACAAUGACGGCGGCCUAUGGAACCCCCGGUACACGGAGCUUUUAACGGAGUACGUAUCGGACGAGGGUGCCCGGGACCCGGUCUUCUCCUUUCAUCAGGAACAUUUUUCAAGGUUGACCUCGGAUCAGGUAGGAAUACGCGCUGAACUUAA